UCAAUAAAGGAAUGUGGGACAGUCAAUGAUUAGCCAGCACAGGAAACCACUGUGUGUGUGAGUGGGAAUUGAGUGCUAGGGGUUGGCUAGGCAGGUGAUGGAUGAACCAAGGUACUCAACGGUGCGUGCAGGAGAUGAUGAUAAACCUACAGACGAGUGAUCGAAAGGAGCCCCUAACGGCCUUAGGUCAGAGGCGAAUGAGAGAAGAAGAGAGCAAGUGAUCCUGUGGUGGAGCCUUUGACUCCGUGGGGAAGCUGCACGGAACAGAAUUGAAGGCAUCUCAUAGUGAGGGGCAGAGUCUAAUUUUAUAGUCCAGGAUGACCUCAAACUUGUGACCCAUCUGCUUUGGUUUCCUGAGUGCUGGAGUCUCAGAAUUUGGGCCUGCAGUUCCUGCAACUUUGGGCUCUUAUGUCUUGGAAGUCUUGGUUUCCAAGACAGGAAGUCUAUGGGAGGCAACACAAAGUUUCCACUGGAUUGAGGAGGACUGAUCCAAUCACAGAGAGAGGGUUGAUUGCUGACCGAAUGAGGACAAGGACGGCCUCACCGCUGUCUUUGACUCAUGGUCUAAAGUCUUCUGCCUGAUUCCCACUCCUGGGCAUCUCACUGGUGACUACAAGGCCUUUUCACCACGUCAAAGGCUGAGUUGAGAGUCUGAUCAGCCAGACUGAUUCCAGACAAUAGAGUUGGGAGUUCUAGGCUUCCCACAGGCCUCUGUCAGCAUCGGGCUCGGUUCAGAUGUCUGCCUGUGAAGGCUGGCAUGUGUAUGCAGUGCAGAAGAGGGCAUCAGAUUCCCUGUAACUGGAGUUGUAAGCUGCCAUGUGGGUGCUGGGAAUUGAACCAGGAUCCUAUGGAAGUGACCCAGUGAUUCGUCUCUUCAGCCCCUCGCUGGUACUCUUAACUGUGGAGCCUUCUCUCUAGCCCUUUUCUUUGUUAUCUGGACGCAAAGUUAAACAUUAUAUACACUCAUCUGUAACUUGCUUUUUUUACCUAAAUUUGAGAAUUAAAGACCUACCUGAUUUGUCUAUUUAUUUGUGUUUGGAGACAAAUCUUAUGUUCUGAGCUCUGGCUGGCCUGGAACACACUAUGUGGACGAGGAGGGCCUUCGAGUUGCUGCAGUCUGUCAUCCUCUGUAGCCAUCCUCUUAAGAGCUGGGAUGAUUACAGGUGCUCACCUGCCUAGUCUCUAUGCUGCUCCUCCCUAUCCCACUGCAGCCCUUACAAUGUCUGGAAUGCUGUCAUUUCCAGCUCCCAAGUGCUGGGAGGUCGAUGUUGCUGUUGCAGACAUCCCAUGACAGGUCCUGCCCAUAAGCAUGCAUGUAUACACAUGUGUACAAAUGUGUGUGACUGAAUGCUCUAUCCUUUUAAGCCAAGAGUAACUCCGGGCCAGGCCUCAGCCCUGAGCCUUUAGGAGUAACACUUUCAUCAGCUGGAAGUCAGUGCAUUGACCUUGCAGGGAACCGUUGGGUCAGGCUCCCUGAUUCUCACAGACCACUUCUAGUCUUAGUGUUUCAUUACUGUGAAGAGACACCACGACCAAGGCAACUCUUUAAAAGGCAAAUGUUUAAUUGGGGCUGCCUUACAGUUUCAGAGAUUCAGUCCAUUACCAUCAUGACAGGAAGCAUGGCAGCGUCCAGGCAGACAUGGUGCUAGAGAAGCAGCUGAGAGUUCUACAUCUUGAUCUGAAGGCAGCCAGAGUGUCUUCCAGGCAGCUAGGAGAAGAGUUUCAAAGCCCCUCCCUAAAGUGACACAGUUUUCUUCCAACAAGGUCACACCUCCAAUAGUGCCAUUCCCUGGGCCAAGCAUAUUCAAACCACCACAACCUUUGAGUUGAGUGGGCUCAUUUGAUUUAGCAUGGAUUGUCAGGGGUGCCGGAAGACCCAGCCUCACCCUGCCACCUGGAGAGUAUCCCAAAUUAGGAACCUGCACUCUGGUGAAGUGGGUCCUUAAAUGAAUCAUAAUGAUGUUAGAUCAGUAAGCUUAGUGAAUACAGACAAAGAAGCAGACACCCUGUAGCUUUAAGAACGAAGAUUUGGAGAGAAAGGCACACCCAAGAAAAGGACAGCACUAGCCAGAUGUGCUGCAAAGCUGGGGUCUCAGCACUCGGGAAGAAGAGAAAGGAAGAUGAGGUCGAGGCAGAGUCCAGCUUCAUUUACACAGUGAGUUCUAGGCUAGCCCGGGCCAUAUGACAAUUGUGAGUGCCGCGUGGGUGCCGGGAAUCAAACUUGGGCCUCUGGAAGAGCAGCAAAUGCUGUGUAUCCUAAGCUGUCUCUGCAGCCCUUCCAGCUGGGUGUGUGUGAGGUGUGCUGUUUAGAUUUAGAGAUGGAGAGGAACGUGAACUCAGACCACCAAAGUAAGACUGCUCGCUCGCUCUUUCUUUCUUUCUUUCUUUCUUUCUUUCUUUCUUUCUUUCUUUCUUUCUUUUUCUUCUUUCCUUCCUUUCUUCCUUCCUUCCUUCCUUCCUUCUUUUCUUUUCUUUUUUUUAAAAAAAAUAUUUAUUUAUUUAUUUUAUGUAUAUGAUUACACUGUAGCUGUCUUCAGACACACCAGAAGAGGGCGUCAGAUCCCAUUACAGAUGGUUGUGAGCCACCAUGUGGUUGCUGGGAUUUGAACUCAGGACCUCUGGAAGAGCAGUCAGUGAGUGGCCUUAACCACUGAGCCAUCUCUCCAGCCCCACAAUCUGUUUUUUCAUUCGAUUUAAACACACCCCCACCUCCCCCCCCCACCUCCCCCCCCCUCCACACACAGCUUCACUAUGUAGCCCUGGCUGUCCUGGAACCUGCUUCACAAACCACAGAGCACAGAGCUUCUUCUGUUUCUGCUUCCCAAGUACUGAUAUCAAAGGCACUGUCCACCAUGCCUGGCUCUAGUUUCUUUUCAAACAAGCACCAUCUCUGUGGACAAUUAUGGCUUUAUCAAUUGGGUUAAAGUUUCUUGACUUUGAAUCAGCCCCCCACACAGAUUAGAUCCCAGGUUGAGGAUCCCUUUCUGAGUCCCUCCUGCUUCCCCUGUCUUCCUAUCCUGCUUUGUAACAGAUUUGCAGAAUUCUGGUUGCUCUGUUCCUGGAAGUCAGGCUUCCAAGAGGAGUUGACAUGGACCAAUGGGGUUUCGCCACAUAGCCAAGACAACGGGGUCUCUGCUGAGUUCACACUGUUGCCUUUGGUGAACUUCAACCCUGAAUAAAACCUUUCUUUUGGGCGUGACGCUGGGGACUAAAGCCGGUCUUCACACAUACUAGGCAAGUGUUCUUUCUACCAACGAGGUACAUCCCUAGGCCUUCUAUGUACUUCUGAUUUUUGAGAGAAUCAAAAGUCUGUGUGAAACGCUGAUUUUGGACUUUGGUUCUCUGGCUUCCGCUUCCAGAGUGCUGAGGUAAGUGUGUUCCACCAUGCUGCGUUCCUGAUAUUUGCCUCACAGCAAAGUUAAAAAAACUGUUCGUGUUCUCUGUUUAUGUAGCGAGCUCUGUAUAUCCCUCAGGAGUUCCUCCAAAGGAAUGAGCCUGUAACAUCAUUGUACAGGGAGCCAUCAGAAACAGGCUCAGCACUGCUAAGCUACUCUUCCCUGAUCCACAGACUUGAAUUUUUAUCAUUAUCUGGACUGAUUUAGGCUCAUAGAAAAGCCUUUAUUUUCCUUCAAACUUUUGAGCGUUCUGUCACUGGCUCGCUGGCAGAAGAUUAAGAAAGAGACACAUAAACAAUUAACAAAGAAACAGUAAUGGAAAAAGUGAACCCUCGCCAGUCAUGCCUGCACAACUGUUUUAUCAUCUGCACUUGUAAUUUUUUUCUUUUACGUUAUGUUUUAUGGUGUGUAAAUUUAGUUAAGGUGACACUUUAGCUAAACAAGUGCUUUUGUGUGAGUUCACAGUUUAUAUGAUACUAUGAAAUAUUUGGACAGUGAGUGCCCUUCAGCAAAAAAGCGCCAUGACGUCCAGGAUCUCUCCCUCCAAAGCCAUCUGCUGUACAGAGAUGGAAGAGGAAGAAAAACCAUAGCUGGAAUUUCCAGGCCCGGGUUUGCUAAUGAGUUGCUGGUGAGACCGUGGUAGACUUUUGUAUAUUAAAUAUGCGAUCCUAUGUUUUCAUUGUUUUGUUUUCAGAAAGGCUGUCCUGGAACUCACCACAUAGACCAACCUGGUCUCUAUCUCACAGGGACCCAUCUGCCUCUUUGUGUUGAGAUUAGCAAUUGUUCUUAUUACUGAAUUUCUUUUUCUUUCCGAGACAGGGUUUCUCUGCAUAGCCCUGGCUGGCCUGGAACUCACUUUGUAGACCAGGCUGGCCUCGAACUCAGAAAUCCGCCUGCCUCUGCCUCCCGAGUGCUAGGACUAAAGGCAUGCACCACCACGGCCGCCCGGCUGAGUUAUUCAGGUUUUAUUCAAGAUUGAAGUUCACCACUUGAGUCCUCUCUCCAGCCCCAGACUGGCUUUAGCCUGCCAUCCUUUUGCCUUCGUUUCUGGAGGCUGAGAUUACAGACAUGCAUCACCACGCACAACCCUGCUGAUUUUGGUCUUUGUCAUAUUUGAUGUCGGUGUUAUUCUGGCUCGGCAAGAAGAAUUUGGGCGAUUUUACUGCUUACUUGACUCUGAAAUA
rnacentral:lncRNA from 1 species